rnacentral:ncRNA from 2 species
CCACAGGGAUAACUGGCUUGUG